AACAGCAAAUGCAGGUUUCUUAGUCCGUCCGAUCUGCCACGUGACAGGAUCCAGUCCCUCUAUCUCCCUCUACCAGUUCUGCCCUGCCGUGUGGUUUCUUCUCCGUGGACUCCUCCUUCCUUUGCCCUCUCCCGAUCCCCUUUUGUGCAGCCGCUGCUCCUCUUCGGUUGCUCCACGGAGCCGUCGCCAACUGAGGGGAUGAUGGCCGGACGGCGAACUCACCGAGGCACGGCUCGAACUAAUCCGGAGGGGGUCAGGACUAUUUUGCGCCGCCGCGGAGGCGGCGGCGCUAGAGGCAGGUCGAGCGGAGGCGACAGCGUCGGGCGACGGGGUGGUGCAAACGGUGGGGGCCGCCCGGCUCGAGCGACAGUGGCGCCGAAGGCGGCGACGACGCCGGGUGACGAGGCAGCCCAAACGGCGGCGGCGCCAGAGGUGGGUCAAACGGAGGCGACGGCGCUGGGCGCCGCGGAGGCCCGAGUGGAGGGCGGCGACGACAAUGCGUGGCGGGCCUUCCUCCGCGCUGCCCCCCCCUCGCUGGCUGCCGGCUCCCGAAGCUCCGCCUUCACCGCUCUGUUCCUCCCCAGCUCCGCCGCUCUCCCUCCCCAUCUGCAGCUCGACGGCACCGGCGGCGGCUUGACGACGGCCGCUCCGUGCCCCUCCUCGCCAGAUCCGGCCUUAAGGUCGCCGGAUCUGGCCUUGGGAGGCGGUGGCGGCGGUGGCGGCUUGAAGGCGGCAGCAGCAGAUCGAAGGCUGCGGCAGCGGCUCGACUGCGGGAGCAGCAGCUCGAAGGCGGCGGCGGCGGCUCGACUGCAGGAACGGCUCGACGACAGCCAGCCCGCGCCCCCUCUACAGUGCAGUAGAGGUCCCAUCGAUCGAGUAUCCUAUCAUAAUAUUAACAAUGUUGGACCAUACUUUUGGUGGGUGCUGCAUGCAGUUAUUAUUAUCAAAGCCAUGAAAGGUUCAAGGCUUCCAGCUGGUUGGCAAUUGCUCUUCAGGGUUUCUCUACCUGUUAACUGUUAUUGCCUGAUAUUAUUUCAGUUUUUUGGGCAUGGGCACAUGGCAGAUACCACAAUAUGA
rnacentral:lncRNA from 1 species